CCUCCUACUCAUCGAUCUAAAUACGGGCUGACUCGAGUCAUCUCGCGCAGUUAGCUGUAAAAUCCCGGAGAAAACUUAUCUCCCCGCGUCGGCCCUUCGGUCCUCAGUACAUAGUUGGCCAUAGCGGGGAAAACCACGUCCCUGACCGUUUUGCGAAAACCGUUAUUUUCCCAACUACGUAUCUGUGUAGCGUCGUCGUCAGUCAGUUCCCAACCAGCCAGCCCAACGUUCGGAAUCUUGUUAUAUAUAUUUUUUGUAUUAUCACGCAAGAGCAAACUGAGAUUUAUAUUAGUACCAUGCUUGUUAGUGAUUUUCUUAAUCUCAUCUUUGCCACGCUCGAGUGCUGACAUACCAUGCGAUCGGGGCCGGUUAGCGAGCUUCGGCGGGAUUCGGAAAACGGCAAAGAUCUCCGCCGUGUUCUUCAUUUUAUUUUAUUUUUUUUUUUUUUGCAGCCGUUUCUGUCGUUGCCGUACGUAUCUACGACCUGGGUUUUGCAGCACGAACAGAACGAAAGGAAGCUGCAUAAAUUUAUGAAAAGCAAGAAUGAAUCACUCAUUUGGAUACAUUUGCUUCGGAACGGGGCGGGGAAGCGGGCCACUGAAGCCUGCAGCCGGAUUUCAGUUACUGUAGCUGCUGCUGCUGCUGCUGCUGCACCUUACAAGAUCCCCGGCGAGUGGGUGUUGAUAAAAUAUGUAGAUUUGAACGGAGCAGAUAUUCCGCUUGGAUAUGUAAUUAUGGUGUUGCUGUCAAAAACAGAUGCACGGCAGCUAAAAAUGAAAUUUCUAUGCAAAGCAGGAUGCACGCUAAGUGGGACGGAAGAACCAUUUUAUUUAUUUACGCUCCGCCUGAACAGGAAACAAAGCAGCCUGAAUUUGAAGUUGCUAUUGGAGACGUCUCAGAUAUUUCACCGUCUGGAAACUUCAUGUUUGCAAAGGAAGUUCCGGGUUUCGGUUCCAGAGUUACAGGAUGAUAUGUGUUAAGAAAAUAUUGACAGUGAUGCUUAUGAAAAUAUAAGUGACCAUGUGAUGUGUAGCGAUUUCCUUGAAAUUGGCCUCUAGUUAACAGACCAUAAUAGUCGAUGACCAGCGGAACUCAUAUCAAUGAUACUAUAACUAUAGUCUAAAACUAAAAAUUGGAACACACUCCUAUUUCUCAAAUAUCAUACAAAGAACAAAGUAACAGCCAAUUUUACCAUCAUAUCAGGAUUUGUUAUUUCUAGGCAGUCAUUAGUCGAUAAUGUUUUUGAUGUUUCAUUGAGCGAAUCAUGAAAUAACACAUGGAUCAAUAAGUCCCAAGACUAAAGCAGAGAUGGCGCUCGUAGUAAACCAGUAGCCACGUCUUUCUAGAGUACUAACCUUUGCUUGAAACGGGUCAAAAUUUGGAGUCGAUCCGACCAGAAACAGCUGAGUUAUCGAGGUUGUAGUAAAGUCGUUUUGUAGGUAAAAACACCGUGCAAGCGAAACAAUGGAUUGAAAAAUGUUAUCCGGACUCUUGUCCAUCAAAAGCAACGAUUUGUCGGUGGUUCGCCGAGUUUAAACGUGGUCGUAUCGACACAAAUGACGCGGAACGCUCGGGUAGACCUGUGGAAGCCGUUACACCGGACAAUGUGAGUAAAGUGACAAAAAUUAUAAUGAAAGAUCGUAAAGUGAAACUCCGUAAGAUUGCUGAGACAUAAUAUGGAAGUGUAUUUACUAUCCUUCAUGAAAAAUUGAGCAUGAAAAAGGUUUUUUCCAAGUGGGUGCCGCGAUUGCUUUCGAUGGAACAAAAACAGCAACGAGUCGAUGAUUCAGAAAGCAGUUUAAAUUGAACGAAUUGGGCUUUGAUCUGCUUCCCCACCCCCCAUACUAGCCAGAUUUAGCCCCCAGUGACUACUGGCUCUUUGCUGAUCUUAAAAAAAUGCUCCAGGGAAAAAGAUUUGGCUCAAAUUAGGAGGUCAUCGCUGAAACUGAAGCUUAUUUUUAAGUGAAAGAUAAAUUUUUUAUAAACAUGGUUUUGAAAAAUUGGAAAAACGUUGGAACCAUUGUAUCACCCUA